CCUACGGGUGGCAGCAGUGGGGAAUAUUGGACAAUGGGCGAAAGCCUGAUCCAGCCAUGCCGCGUGUGUGAAGAAGGCCUUCGGGUUGUAAAGCACUUUCAGUGGGGAAGAAAGCCUUGGGGCUAAUACCCUCGAGGAAGGACAUCACCCACAGAAGAAGCACCGGCUAACUCCGUGCCAGCAGCCGCGGUAAUACUGAGGGUGCGAGCGUUAAUCGGAAUUACUGGGCGUAAAGCGCGCGUAGGCGGUCUGAUAAGCCGGUUGUGAAAGCCCCGGGCUCAACCUGGGAACGGCAUCCGGAACUGUCAGGCUAGAGUGCAGGAGAGGAAGGUAGAAUUCCCGGUGUAGCGGUGAAAUGCGUAGAGAUCGGGAGGAAUACCAGUGGCGAAGGCGGCCUUCUGGACUGACACUGACGCUGAGGUGCGAAAGCGUGGGUAGCAAACAGGAUUAGAUACCCUUGUAGUC
rnacentral:rRNA from 1 species